rnacentral:rRNA from 1 species
UACAGAGGUCUCAAGCGUUGUUCGGAUUCAUUGGGCGUAAAGGGUGCGUAGGCGGAUUAGUAAGUCAGUGGUGAAAGCCCAUCGCUUAACGGUGGAACUGCCAUUGAUACUGCUAGUCUUGAGUAUGGUUGAGGUGGGCGGAAUGUGUCAUGUAGCGGUGAAAUGCUUAGAUAUGACACAGAACACCAAUUGCGAAGGCAGCUCGCUAAACCAUAACUGACGCUGAUGCACGAAAGCGUGGGGAGCAAACAGG